AGGAACCAUGAAAGAGAGAUAUUAAGGCGGCAAAAUGAAGAGGGGAAAAUGGUGGCCAUUCAUAUUCUCUUUUAUGUUUUUGUGGUAAAUCAAUUUCUCCAAAUCAAAUCAAAGCAUAUGGCGAGUACAACCACGCUCUUAGAGCUUCAACCAUGGAACUACAACUACCACCGCGCCUUCUCCCUCAGGAUCUCCUCCAAGAUCCACCGUGUCUCCGCCACCUCCGACCACCGCCCCGCCGCUCCUUCCUGCAUCUUCGUUGGUCCUCUCGAAACCGCCAACCAAGAAACUCUCGAAGCUCUCUACUCUCAAGCACGGGAUGCUUAUUAUAGUGGCGAACCUUUGAUAGUUGAUGACAUGUUUGAUAGAGUGGAGUUAAAGCUGAGAUGGUACCGUUCAAAAUCGGUUAUCAAGUAUCCUCGAUGCAGCAUCAGGAGGCAAUCAGCAUAUGCUGAUGCAGAGGAAGAUCUGUCUAUGGUUUUUGCAUUGGCAAGCACAUGGACCAUGUUCCUUGCAUUCGGCAGUUUAGUAUGCCUUGGGCCGACAUUAUACACUGUUGGCAUGACUUAUCAGAAUGCAUUCAGUUCGGGAUUAUCACUUGAUAGCCAACCAUCUGGUCUAGAACUAACCAUGGUGAAUAGCAUAUUCGUCGUGCUAUGUUUUGUAAUUGGAUACCCAAUUGUUUCGGCUUCAGUUAAGGUGCUUCAGGGCCUGUGGGUGAAUGAUUUGGUGGCAUUGAAAGGUGCAUGUCCAAAUUGUGGAGAAGAGUUAAUUCAUUUUCCUUCAGGUAUUUGCAUUUGUGAGAAUGGACAGGAAUAUCGACUCACCACAUAGAGCAAAUUGUCAUGUGUGUGGAAGUAUCUUAGAAUUCCGCACAAAAGUAGAGCCAUCAUCAGUCUCAAGAUUAGGCAGAAAAUGGGUUUAUGGGCGGAUUUACCUUGUCUCAGCAAGAGGAAGAUUUCGAUAGCAGAAGCAACUCAUGAUCUUUUUGUCCACCAUUUUUGAGUUUCUUUGAUCAAUGAUUGUGAAGGGAAGUCUUGGAGCAACGAUCGAGUUGUCUCCAUAUAACCUCAAGGUCACCGGGUUCAAGCUGUGGAAACAGCCAUUGAUGUAAUUAUCAGGUUAGGUUGUGUACGUUACACCCAUUGGGUGUAGUCCUUACCCGGACCUUGCGUUAACGCGGGAUGUUUGUGCACCAGGCUAUCAUUUUUGAUCAAUGAUUGUGUAUAGAAAGGAUCAGAUUACAACCAAUUUGUUUCCUAUAUUUAGUUUUAGGCUAGAACAAGUUGUGCCUGAAAUAUCAUCUUUUACUUUUUUCACAAGGAAGCUGGCAUGUUAGUGGAUGGACAACUAAUUUCUUUGUUUUGGUCGAGUGUUAGUGUUAUAUGCGAGAUUUCAAAAUUGAAUUUCCUUUUCUU